rnacentral:lncRNA from 12 species
CAGCAGACAACUUUGCAUUUACAAAUGUGAUAGUAGAGCUUUUCUUUGGGAAUUUGAAAUCCUCCCAAGUAGGCUGGAAGGAAAGAAGAAAGGGAUGCAAAAAUCAACAGAAAUGUACUUGAUGUCAUAAUAUAGGGUUGCCCAUGCCCUUUCCUUUCCCACUCUCAUUUCUCCUAUGACCUCAGAAGUGUGAGCAGUGUGUUUCUCUUGUAGAUAAAGUAUCACUGAUGAAAGAGUUCAGCUAGCAGUGGAAUCAACUGGGUGGCCAAGCUCUGCUGGAUGUCACAGAGCGUAUCACAGAGCUUGUGGAAGAGGUUUAUGCCAGCAGCCCUGAAGUUGUCCAGCAGUGCGCCCUGCCAGUGCUCUGGUCCUGCCUGGAGAACAAGGCGCUGCCUGUCCGCAGCGCCAAUGUCCGCACAGUGGUCACCAGGCUCGCCUCUGCCCUCU